rnacentral:rRNA from 1 species
UACAGAGGUCCCAAGCGUUGCUCGGAAUCACUGGGCGUAAAGCGCACGUAGGCGGAUCUUUAAGUCAGGGGUGAAAUCCUGGAGCUCAACUCCAGAACUGCCUUUGAUACUGAGGAUCUUGAGUCCGGGAGAGGUGAGUGGAACUCCGAGUGUAGAGGUGAAAUUCGUAGAUAUUCGGAAGAACACCCGUGGCGAAGGCGGCUCUCUGGGACGGUACUGACGCUGAGACGCGAAAGCGUGGGGAGCGAACAGG